GCGAAAGCAGCAGCAGUCGGUCUUUACUUCCCAGAGGGAUGGGAAAUGGCGCGGCCGCUGCUGGGUACAUUCUGCCUUCUCUCCUGGAUUUGCUGCAGCUCAGUCUGUUCUGCACUGAAGGUAUCGGAUCCUCCCUCUCACAAAGCCCUUCUGGGUUCUACAACUUCCCUCCCUUGCACCUUCUCUUUGGGCAAAUCUCCCAUUGACCACUCGGUGUUGUCCAUCAUCUGGACCUUCAGAGACAAGGAGAUUCUUAGGUACAACAAGGGUCGGACCCUCUCCCAAGCCGGACUGUCUCUGGAUGUUCAGGCCAUAGAGGAAGGGAGGGUGUCUCUGUCGGUCUCCAAUGUAACUGUCUCUGAUGAGGGAACCUACACGUGUGUUGUGAGUUAUAACAUGAAACAAGAACAUGUCAUGGAAUUACAAGUGGAAGCCGUUCCCGUGGUGACGAUAAGUAGAUCUAGGGCGAACCUGCGCUGCUCAGUGAGUGGGUUCUACCCUAUGGAUAUUGGGGUAACUUGGCUCAGGGAUGGGGAGCCCAUACCCCAUUCCUCUAACAUAGACAUAAGGACAUGGAGUAAUGCAGACGGCACCUACACACUGAGCAACUCACUGAGUGUGGCCCCUGGGGGAGGCCAGAGAGAGGGGACUUACUCCUGCCAAGUGGAACACAAGUCCCUGCCGGAGCCUCUUCUCAAGGAUCUCCAGUUGGUCUAUAGAGGAGAGGAGCGGAGAUAUACCCCAGAGACCGUUGUGGCGGCCAUAUUUCUCACCAUGCUGCUCAUUGGAGCCGGGAUAGCGGCGGCGCUUUGGUUUCUUGUCUACAGGAGGAAAUUGAAGCCCCAGGAUUCCAUGGCACUUUCCCUGAGUGACUCCGGAGAGGUUCUGAGCUGCCUGACCCUGCGGGAGUUUUACCCCAGAGGGAUCCAGAUCAGAUGGAGCUGUGGAGUUGUUUACUACGAGGAUCUGGAAUCCAAUGAGAAAGUUACUUUGAGCUCCGGCAGCAGCACCUUUAAUAUUGAGAGUGAGUGUAAGAUCCCGGGGCAACUCUUCAUACAUCCAGGAUUCAAAGUGCAAGUGACCUGGAACCAACAAUCCGGCGCCGGGCAGGGGUCCCGGGAGUUCUCUGCCAGGGAUUUUCCUUGGCGCCCACGGAUGGGGGAGAUAAUAAAGCCAGAUACCCUGAUACACGGCAAAGAGGGCAGAUUCCAGUGUAAGAUCUGGGGGUAUUUCCCACUGUGUCUGGAGCUGAGAUGGUUCAGGAUAGAAGUGGGGGUUCGGGAGCGGAUCCCCCUUUUUACCAGUGAGAAGUAUUUUCUGACGAUGGAGCCCGAGAGGCAAAGUGACGGAACUUUCUGUGGAACAGCUCUACUUAUUGUCUCUGUCGAUUCUGCCACUGAGCAGGGGGUGCAAUUUAUCUGCCAGGUCCGGCACCCCAGUCUGGGGGAACCCCUAGAGAGAAGCACCGGGGCCCUCAGUGUGACAGUGAAUUCAGCAGAACCAAGGCCUUUGCCGUAGAGGAGAAGAGAACCGGGUCACACACAGACCCAGAGACCAGCGGAAGGAUAUUUGGGGGCCGGCCAAUUAGCCCUGUUACAGAGACAUAAUAUUGGCACCAUAAGCAGCCUGGGGGGGUCGAUGCUUCAGCCAAACAUUGCAAUCUGAUGGCGAGGGGGCAAGAACAUGGCCCCCCCAUGAAUGUGCCGGAGCCUCCACCGGGGUUGGUGCUUCUACUAUUCCCAAGGCUAAAGAGGAGAAGGUACCGGCUGGAGUGUGAGUGCCACUAGGACUAUGGGAAAGCAGUCUGGGGGGUCAUCGGCCCAAAUGGGUCAACUAUAUGGAACGAGACAUUCAGUUACUUCUCAGGUCAAAGACAGUUCCUGGAGUCGUGUUCUACCCCUCAAUAAUGACAAUCUGGGUCUCUUAAAGGUCAACUAAGAAUAUAAUUUUUGCCAUUUAAAAGAAAAUAUAAUUCUAAGCCACUUUGCACUAUACAUUCAUUACACAUUUGUAAUUGUUUUUGCAUUAUUUGUAUAUAUAAUUGCUAUAAGAAGCAGUGUCUGACCUUUUCUAUUCCCUGCACUGGGGGUUCUGACUCCUGAAACAAUGUAACACAAGCCUGACUGUAACCCCCUGCCUGGAGUUGAACCAGGGGCCUGCAGGUUGCUAUGCAGUAUCAUGCACUACAGCUCUAUAUAUAAAUAAUAUAUUAUUAAUUAUAUAUAAAUAAUAAAGACUUUUGUAUUUUUAAAUCGACAGAA